rnacentral:rRNA from 1 species
GGGGAAUAUUGGACAAUGGGGGCAACCCUGAUCCAGCCAUGCCGCGUGUGUGAGGAAGGCCUGCGGGUUGUAAAGCACUUUUAGUGGGGAAGAUAAUGACGUUACCCACAGAAAAAGCACCGGCUAACUCCGUGCCAGCAGCCGCGGUAAUACGGAGGGUGCAAGCGUUAAUCGGAAUUACUGGGCGUAAAGCGUGCGUAGGCGGCUCUUUAAGUCGGAUGUGAAAUCCCCGGGCUCAACCUGGGAACUGCAUCCGAUACUGGGGAGCUAGAAUGUGGGAGAGGGAAGUGGAAUUUCCGGUGUAGCGGUGAAAUGCAUAGAGAUCGGAAGGAACAUCAGUGGCGAAGGCGACUUCCUGGACCAACAGUGACGCUGAGGCACGAAAGCGUGGGUAGCAAAC